rnacentral:rRNA from 1 species
AACGAACGCUGGCGGCAUGCCUAACACAUGCAAGUCGAACGAGACCUUCGGGUCUAGUGGCGCACGGGUGCGUAACGCGUGGGAACCUGCCCUUAGGUUCGGAAUAACUCCCCGAAAGGGGUGCUAAUACCGGAUAAUGUCUUCGGACCAAAGAUUUAUCGCCUUUGGAUGGGCCCGCGUUGGAUUAGCUAGUUGGUAGGGUAAAAGCCUACCAAGGCGACGAUCCAUAGCUGGUCUGAGAGGAUGAUCAGCCACCCUGGGACUGCGACACGGCCCAGACUCCUACGGGAGGCAGCAGUGGGGAAUAUUGGACAAUGGGCGAGAGCCUGAUCCAGCAAUGCCGCGUGAGUGAUGAAGGCCUUAGGGUUGUAAAGCUCUUUUACCCGGGAUGAUAAUGACAGUACCGGGAGAAUAAGCUCCGGCUAACUCCGUG